rnacentral:tRNA from 1 species
UUUUCUUAGUAUAAUUAGUACUAAUGGCUUCCAACCAUUAAGCCUUGGUUAAUCUCCAGGAGAAAAUA